rnacentral:rRNA from 1 species
GCAACCAUGCAGAAUGGGUUGAAACAGCAGUGAAAGCGCUACCGGGAUAAGGGCUGGGGGAUUGCUUGUGUUACUUGCGCGUGCUUUAGUGCUGUGCUUGUGAACGGCAUGCAUCGAUUAGGAUGGGGAGAACAGGGUCAUCGGGAAUUCGGCUGGAUCCGUCCAGUGUUGUAGCCCGGAGGUCAAUGGAGCCCCUUCUGACCGUUGAGUGUCCUGCGAUUGUCAGCCGCCCGUCUUGAAACACGGACCAAGGAGUGCACCUUGCAUGCGAGUCGAAGGGACUGUAAUCCUGGAGGCGCAGCGAAAGCGAAGGCCACGAACCCUCACGGCAUCGGUGGCACCCGCCCUGUGCGAGGUAGAGCAUGUAGGGUGCGACCCGAAAGAUGGUGAACUAUGCCCGGGUAAGGUGAAGCCAGUGGAAACGCUGGUGGAGGCCUGUAGCGGUUCUGACGUGCAGAUCGAUCGUGUAACCUGGGUAUAGGGGCGAAAGACCUAUCGAACCGUCUAAUGGCUGGUUCCCCCCGAAGUUUCCCUCAGGAUAGC